UACGUAGGUGGCAAGCGUUUGUCCGGAUUUACUGGGCGUAAAGGGCGCGUAGGCGGCCAUCUAAGUCAGACGUGAAAUCCCCCGGCUUAACCUGGGAACUGCGUCUGAUACUGGACGGCUUGAGUAUGGGAGAGGGAUGUAGAAUUCCAGGUGUAGCGGUGAAAUGCGUAGAUAUCUGGAGGAAUACCGGUGGCGAAGGCGGCAUCCUGGACCAUUACUGACGCUGAGGCGCGAAAGCUAGGGGAGCAAACGGG
rnacentral:rRNA from 1 species